CCCUUAGAUGUUCUGGGCAGCACGCGCACUACAAUGGUCUUCGCAAACGGAUGCAUUCUCGAAGGAGAAUGCCAAUCUUGGAAUCUAUGCCUUGGUCGGGACAGUUGCUUGCAAUUUUUCGACUCGAACCAGGAAUUCCUUGUAAUCGUGAUUCAUCACAUCACGAUGAAUACGUCCCUGCCCUUUGUACACACCGCCCGUCGCUCCUACCGAUCGAAGAGUUAGGUGAAUUGUUUUGAUCGAUAAGAUUUGACUAUGGUCAACUCUCGUUGUGAAACUCUGUGAAUCUGACUGUUUAGAGGAAGGAAAAGUCGUAACA
rnacentral:rRNA from 1 species